rnacentral:rRNA from 1 species
GACGAACGCUGGCGGCGUGCUUAACACAUGCAAGUCGAACGCUGAAGCCCUUUCGGGGGUGGAUGAGUGGCGAACGGGUGAGUAACACGUGGGUAAUCUGCCCUGCACUCUGGGAUAAGCCUUGGAAACGGGGUCUAAUACCGGAUAGGACACAUCGCCGCAUGGUGUGUGUGUGGAAAGUUCCGGCGGUGCAGGUUGAGCCCGCGGCCUAUCAGCCUGUUGGUGGGGUGAUGGCCUACCAAGGCGACGACGGGUAGCCGGCCUGAGAGGGUGACCGGCCACACUGGGACUGAGACACGGCCAAGACUCCUACGGGAGGCAGCAGUGGGGAAUCUUGCGCAAUGGGCGAAAGCCUGACGCAGCAACGCCGCGUGGGGGAUGACGGCCUUCGGGUUGUAAACCUCUUUCGACCGGGACGAAGGGUGACUGACGGUACCGGUAGAAGAAGCACCGGCUAACUACGUGCCAGCCGCCGCCGUAAAAC